rnacentral:rRNA from 1 species
ACGCUCGACACCUACGGGGGGCAGCAGUGGGGAAUAUUGCACAAUGGGGGAAACCCUGAUGCAGCGACGCCGCGUGAGCGAAGAAGUAUUUCGGUAUGUAAAGCUCUAUCAGCAGGGAAGAAACUGACGGUACCUGACUAAGAAGCACUGGCUAAAUACGUGCCUGCAGCCGCGGUAAUCUGAGCGGGCUGGCAAGGC